AGAGGGGAGCAAAGGGGCUGAGGGGAGUGGAGGCCGAGGGGGGCGGGGAGGCCGCCCUGCCGGCCUAAGGGCUUUGGGGACAGACGCCUUUGCCGGGAGCUCAGGGGCCCUGUUCUCUGAGGAGGACGGGAGCUGGAGGACGAGAGCUGGAGGGUGACGUCCGUGCAGUCUGGACACGUGGUCCAGGCUGAGUUUAGUGGGCCCGCUGUGUCCCCCAGAACCAGCAGUGGGGGGAAAGCAGAACCUCCAUCACACUGCAGAAUCGUGGGGUCCCUGGAACAGCCUGGCCACUUCGGGGGCUCUGUCCAGGACCCCAGGGCUCUGCAGAUGGCCGCAGAUGCACUUGGCCAUGGGUCAUUUCCUUCUGGGAUAUUUUACUGAUUUUUGAAAUAUUCAUUCUGAUCCACUUAGUUUGGUUUUCUUCUUCAGAGACUCGAAGUUGCUGUGUUGACUCUCCUUUGCCUGUCUCAUUAAUCACAGGAGCAUCUACAGAUGCUUAAAACGUAAAAGGCAAAUGUGUUUUUAUUCUAUAGGCCUCGUCCCCAAAGUGAAGUGCACGCUCUUCGAAUAAUAUUCUUCCCCUUCUUUUAGUUUCUAUUUGUGUUUGUACUGUACAGUAAAUUAAUUUUUGUUGUGGCAAUACACGUAUAAUUUAUGAACAAGUAAUUAUUCGUGUGUCAGAUGGAUGGUCCCUCAGAAGUCCGGGAUGAUCUUGGGGUGCGUAUGGGACAACUGGGCACGGAGGCUUCGAGAGGUCUGAGGCCCACGGCCAAGAACCACUGCUUUCAAAACCACUGCUUCCAAAAGUCUUGCACACCUAGUUGCUCAGUAACUGUUCGCUGAUUUACCUUGGAAGGUCUUUAAAUAGAUGUAAUAAACAUAUAUCUCAACUUGGCAAAAAAGGGGCGGAAAUGUAAUUUGAGUAACAGUAUUCAAAUAUCUUAAGACCCACGCUUCAUCUCUGCCCUGUAUAAUAGCGAUUACUUUUUCUUUGAUUUUUCUUACUCUAACCCUUAAUUGCAUAAAAAGAAGCCUGCAAUCCUAAAUAUCCGAAAGGGAAUCAUCUAGGUGCACCGAUUUGCUACGGCAAUUUUUGUUUUGUUUUAAUUCGUCUCGUUUUUUAAUACACGAUAUAAAUCGUCACCCAAAUCAGUUCUUUGUUUUAAGGCUACAUGUGUGAUUCCCACCAGGUAGCUCUCCUCUACCUGCUACACACAAAUUGCAGGUCAAAAACAAAACGGAACGACCUCAGUAGCAAAACCGACAGUUUGUGGCACAGAUAAACGUCGCCCUGGUGACUAAUACCUUAGACUUCAGCAAAGGGACCAGAGGAGAUGCCCGCCUGAGUGUGGGAUUGUGAAUCCUUUUCAGAGCCGAUCUAUGAGGGAAAAAAGUCUUGUUUUGCUAUUUAGUUUUUCCGUUGAGGGUUUGGAUACUUUUUCUUUCAUUCAUAUGAUUGGGUUUCAAUCAAUGCUGACUAUUGUGUUGUUUCCUACAGUGAAUGCACGGAACUGUUUUGUUUAAAUCAUAUUACUCCAUUAAAAAGAGGGACUACAUAUCCAGUCACACCACCCGCAGGUGGAUCCGUUUCCACCGGUUUAGUGCGUUAGCCAAUCUGCUCCCCCGCCCCACUGGUUUCAAAGACGUUGGUUUGAAACUAACGUACAGAUCAACGGGAAUGUCACCUAGACCCAACCGUGCAGAUUUCAGUCUCUCUGUCAUCACUGUGAAUUCAGUUUCUCAGGGAAGUUGUCAAAGUCCACCUUCCCUUUAAACAUAGAAAUCCUCUCUGUUAAAAUGUGCACGACACUGAGUCUUCUCGAAUAAAAAAUAAAAAUCUCUGUAAUCCUUCAUGAUGCCACUGUGAUUUCUAAAAUUAACUUCACGCGGCUAUGCCGUGGACUCGUCCCUAUGCGGACCCAUGAGUGAGAAUACUUUUUCCAGAAAUCGAGGUGCCUGAGCCGCACCCCCACCCCAUUCCCAGCCCCCACGUUCGCCCUCAGCUCUGAGCCUCCGGGUCUGAGUCAGCCAUGGGAGGGAGAGGCCUUAGAGCCUCCUCAUGCUGCUUUUCAAAUUAGUGACUCACAUCGUAAAACAAUAACUAACAUUUAAAAAUGUUACGUAUGUGCCAGACACUUUUUAACAUUUACAAAAGUCACUUGUAAACAUCGAAACCAACUAAAUACCUAAGAAAUGUUAAAAUCACAAGGCUAACAGCUCAACACCCGACUCCGGCCAAUGCAGUCUGAUCUGAGUGCGUUUCAUUCCAGGUUGAAAUGUGAUUCCACUGUGAGUCAUGGUCAUUCAUCUAAGACUGCCGGGUCGCUUUUAUUUCAAAGGUCUAAAUGACCUACUUAUGGAGCAGGCAGGUAAAGAACAACAGAGAGGUAAGAACUGCCUCGCUGAAGCAUUUAAAUAGGGUGAGAAGGGGCACGGGCCGAGGCACAAAGAAACCAGACGGGGGUCGGGGGUGGCUCUCGGGCAAGUGUGCGUGGGGACACUGCGUGUGGCACGCAUCCUUGGACGAGCCAUCGGGCCUCUGAAGCUCCUUUUUCAAAUAAAGGAAGUGGGGUGGACUUAACCCGACCUGGUGGAGAUCCAUAACGUCUAAGACCCCUUCCGGUGCUCGAUGCCCGGAGGCGGGAUCGCUGGACCACACGGUACAGCAGCCCCCUCACCUGCGAGGACGCGUUCCGAGACCCGCAGUGGGCGCCGGAAGCCUCGGAGAGUACCGGAGCCUGCGUGUGCCAUGGCUUUCCCUGCACAGUCACACCCGUCACAAAGUCGCUCUCUCAAGCACCGGAUGACCACUCAAAGCAGGGCCACCCCUGAGGACCCCCGAUGUGACCCAACGGGAAGCAGCCAGCACCCCCAUGAGGGAAAGGUGCUCCACAAUCUGGAGAGGCCACUUGAGCUGUGCUGCCCAAUGCACGGCGGCCACACAUGGCUACUGAGCAGGCGAACUGCCGAACGGACGUGAUGGAGAGAGUUUAGUGUGCGAAAAAGAACAUAAGAUAUCUCACUAACGAUUAUGCUACGAUCACAUGUUGCGAUGAUACUAUUUAGGACAUGCUGGGUUACAUCAAAUAGAUUUUUAAAAUUAA